CGCAGCCUCGUCAAAUUCAGCAACGCCCGCUCAGUGGCGUCUGCUGGCCCAAAGGGCUGCAACAGUAUCUGGAGCCUAUGGGCCCUGUUUUCCUUCUCAUGGAAGUUGGGGAUAAACUGUGCAACCAACACCU